rnacentral:rRNA from 2 species
UACGGUGCUGAAGCAACAAAUGCCCUGCUUCCAGGAAAAGCCUCUAAGCAUCAGGUAACAUCAAAUCGUACCCCAAACCGACACAGGUGGUCAGGUAGAGAAUACCAAGGCGCUUGAGAGAACUCGGGUGAAGGAACUAGGCAAAAUGGUGCCGUAACUUCGGGAGAAGGCACGCUGACACGUAGGUGAAGUGAUUUACUCAUGGAGCUGAAGUCAGUCGAAGAUACCAGCUGGCUGCAACUGUUUAUUAAAAACACAGCACUGUGCAAACACGAAAGUGGACGUAUACGGUGUGACGCCUGCCCGGUGCCGGAAGGUUAAUUGAUGGGGUCAGCGCAAGCGAAGCUCCUGAUCGAAGCCCCGGUAAACGGCGGCCGUAACUAUAACGGUCCUAAGGUAGCGAAAUUCCUUGUCGGGUAAGUUCCGACCUGCACGAAUGGCGUAAUGAUGGCCAGGCUGUCUCCACCCGAGACUCAGUGAAAUUGAACUCGCUGUGAAGAUGCAGUGUACCCGCGGCAAGACGGAAAGACCCCGUGAACCUUUACUAUAGCUUGACACUGAACAUUGAGCCUUGAUGUGUAGGAUAGGUGGGAGGCUUUGAAGUGUGGACGCCAGUCUGCAUGGAGCCGACCUUGAAAUACCACCCUUUAAUGUUUGAUGUUCUAACGUGGACCCGUAAUCCGGGUUGCGGACAGUGUCUGGUGGGUAGUUUGACUGGGGCGGUCUCCUCCUAAAGAGUAACGGAGGAGCACGAAGGUUGGCUAAUCCUGGUCGGACAUCAGGAGGUUAGUGCAAUGGCAUAAGCCAGCUUGACUGCGAGCGUGACGGCGCGAGCAGGUGCGAAAGCAGGUCAUAGUGAUCCGGUGGUUCUGAAUGGAAGGGCCAUCGCUCAACGGAUAAAAGGUACUCCGGGGAUAACAGGCUGAUACCGCCCAAGAGUUCAUAUCGACGGCGGUGUUUGGCACCUCGAUGUCGGCUCAUCACAUCCUGGGGCUGAAGUAGGUCCCAAGGGUAUGGCUGUUCGCCAUUUAAAGUGGUACGCGAGCUGGGUUUAGAACGUCGUGAGACAGUUCGGUCCCUAUCUGCCGUGGGCGCUGGAGAACUGAGGGGGGCUGCUCCUAGUACGAGAGGACCGGAGUGGACGCAUCACUGGUGUUCGGGUUGUCAUGCCAAUGGCACUGCCCGGUAGCUAAAUGCGGAAGAGAUAAGUGCUGAAAGCAUCUAAGCACGAAACUUGCCCCGAGAUGAGUUCUCCCUGAGACUUAGAGUCUCCUGAAGGAACGUUGAAGACGACGACGUUGAUAGGCCGGGUGUGUAAGCGCAGCGAUGCGUUGAGCUAACCGGUACUAAUGAACCGUGAGGCUUAACCUUACA